CCUCCCCGGGCUCCAAGUGCGCAGGCGCCGGCCCCGAGGACCGACAGUGCGCGGGGCUGGAGCGCGGUCGGAGCGCACGGUGGCGGUGGUGGCGGCGAAAGACUGAAGGAUCGCGGGCGGACGGCGGACACACAGACCUACGAGCUUAGGAGUCGGCGGCUGUGCCGCACGUGCCGCCUGGCUGGAGGGGUGGCCACCUAGCCAUGUCACCUAGUACCUGCUGAACUAGGAGUGCUUGAGGAUGUCCGCGCUGAGGAAGGCUUUCCUGCCACCCGAGGCUCAGCCGUAGUACUGCGCAUCCCAUUCCAACGGUGACUCCCUCUGCUGCACCCAGCCCAGCACGAUGGGGACGGCUCAGGUUCUGCCCGGCAUUCUGCAGAAGCAUUGCUGUGUGCUACCAGACAGGAACACAGAUCUGAUGCCCGUUUGCUGGACGUGCCCACAGGGCGGUCACCACGGCGGGCGGUCAUCGUUGAUUAAGAUAAUUUUUUUUAAUGUGUCACUGCAUGAAUCUCCAUCUCCAUCUCUGGAAAUUGAGUAAAUUCAUAGAAGAAAAGUUGAUUACUGUUUAGAUACUUGUUUUGUCAUUUUGAAUGGGAAAUAUUGAAAACUAAAAUUAAACAUACAUAAAUGCUAUAUCAGACUCAUUUUUAUUCAAGUACAGUACAACAUUCAGUGUUAUAGUCAUUGCUAUUUAUUCUAUGGUUUAGGUAAAAUAUUUGGGAAAAUAACCCCUAAUGUAAUGACAUGCUUUUAUGUGAUAUUAAACAGAUUCCCAAC
rnacentral:lncRNA from 1 species